GUUUACGAGCUCGGAGGACGCUGCUGGUGUCUGGAGGCAAUGCAGAGAGCGAGUCCUGAGUUCUGGUGCCAGCCCAGGCCCAGGUGCGAGGGAGGAGCGAGGAGUAAAGGGAUGUGAAACUCCCAGUGCCAAGCAUGUGAAUUUUUCAUGUGACCCAGAGGCCUCCCUCAUACCAGCAUGGGGCUGCCCAGGAGCAGCUGAGAGCGGGAAGGCACGAAAACAGCCACCGAGCCACCUGCUUCGCAGCGUUGCCCCGACUCGAAGUCAGGCCUGUCUGCUUUUGGUUCCCGCUGUGCAGGGAAGCCUGGAUGUGAUUCAUCAAGGGAUGUCUGAUUUGCUUAGCGGGGAGCCCUCCGGCUGCCAGGUGGAAGCACAAAGUGGUUCGUCAGCAGCUGCAAAGGGCCUAGCAGUGACCUCUGCACUCUCCUGGCUGAAGGAGGUCUCCCUGCAUUCAUGAAUAGCGCUGUCAGCCUGGGUAAGGAUCUGAACACGCCUGUAACUGCUGGCACAGACAGAAGCAAGCACGCGUGCUGGAUGUGGCUGAGCAUCUCUACAUGUCUGUACAAG
ensembl:lncRNA